GCAGCUUCCCCCAUUGCCAUCUCAAGUGCAAAAACUCUACCAAAAUCUUCACCAUUUUAACGCAUGAUCAAGCUGUGGCAGAUAAUCAGAAAUGUUAGUAUUUCUUGUAAAAUGAACCGAGGGCAUAUGAGUAAAAAUGUAAAAGUCAGUUAGGAGGUAUUAAACUGAUUUAGCGGGACUUUCAGUUGUAAUUGUCAUUACGAGUUUGUUAAUUAAAUUUCCACUUUCUCUCUCUCUCUUAAUCUUCUUCUUCUCCUCCAUCAUCUCUGAAACCCUAACAGAAGGUUGAAAUGCGAAAUACGCACUGAUUCAUACUCCGGUUCUACAGACUAGAGAGGAAGCAAAGCAAAAAAAAAAUGUAAGUGGUGAAUAAAGAUAAGGGGAGUGCACCGAGUAGUUAGCAUGAACAUUAUAAAUGGCAUUGUUAAGAGUCUUCUCUAUCUACAUCAAGACUCCAGACUGAGAAUCGUUCACCGAGAUCUCGAGGAUGGAAAUAUUUUACUCGAUCAUCAGAUGAAUCCAAAAAUCUCAGACUUUGAAUCCAAAAAUCUCAGACUUUGGCACUGCUAGAAUUUUUUGGAGAAGUGACUCUCUAC
rnacentral:lncRNA from 1 species